rnacentral:rRNA from 1 species
UACGGAGGGUGCGAGCGUUGUCCGGAAUCAUUGGGCGUAAAGGGCGCGUAGGUGGCCCCUCAAGCGUGCGGUGAAAGUCAGGGGCUCAACCCCUGAUCGGCCGUGCGGACUGGGGAGCUUGAGCACUGUAGAGGCAGGCGGAAUUCCGGGUGUAGCGGUGGAAUGCGUAGAGAUCCGGAAGAACACCGGUGGCGAAGGCGGCCUGCUGGGCUACUGCUGACACUGAGGCGCGACAGCUAGGGGAGCAAACAGG